AGUGAACGCUGGCGGCAGGCCUAAUACAUGCAAGUCGAACGGCAGCACAGCAGAGCUUGCUCUGUGGGUGGCGAGUGGCGGACGGGUGAGGAAUACAUGGGAAUCUGCCCAGUCGUGGGGGAUAACGUAUGGAAACGUACGCUAAUACCGCAUGCGCCCUUUGGGGGAAAGCCGGGGACCUUCGGGCCUGGCGCGAUUGGAUGAGCCCAUGUUCGAUUAGCUAGUUGGCGGGGUAAAGGCCCACCAAGGCGACGAUCGAUAGCUGGUCUGAGAGGAUGAUCAGCCACACUGGGACUGAGACACGGCCCAGACUCCUACGGGAGGCAGCAGUAGGGAAUAUUGGACAAUGGGCGCAAGCCUGAUCCAGCCAUGCCGCGUGAGUGAAGAAGGCCCUCGGGUUGUAAAGCUCUUUUGUCCGGAAAGAAAAGCAUUCGGUUAAUACCCGGGCGUUCUGACGGUACCGGAAGAAUAAGCACCGGCUAACUUCGUG
rnacentral:rRNA from 1 species